rnacentral:tRNA from 1 species
GGUCGUGGCUCAGUGGUAGAGUGCACAGCUAGCAUGCAUGAGGCACUGGGUUUGAUCCUCAGCACCA